rnacentral:rRNA from 1 species
GCCUGGCCCUAAAUCUUGAUGCUCGAUAUUACCUGAGCAUCCGCCCGAGAACUACGAGCACAAACGCUUAAAACUCUAAGGACUUGGCGGUGCUCCAAACCCACCUAGAGGAGCCUGUUCUGUAAUCGAUGAUCCACGAUAUUACCUGACCAUUCCUUGCACGAAACAGCCUAUAUACCGCCGUCGCCAGCCCACCUUUCCUGACAGCCCAACAGUGGACGCAAUAGCCUAACCCGCUAGCAAGACAGGUCAAGGUAUAGCCCACGGAAUGGAAGCAAUGGGCUACAUUUUCUAGACUAGAACACACGGAUAAGGGUAUGAAACUGCCCUUGGAAGGCGGAUUUAGCAGUAAAGAGAGACAAUGGAGCCCUCUUUAAGCCGGCUCUGGAGCACGU